UGUUCUAUAAAGAGCCUGUGCCCCAAGCAAGCAAGAGAGACUCCUUCUGCUCCUUCCCAGGAACUGCUUCAUACAGGCCGAAAAUAUGAGUUGAGUGGGGUAUGGUGAGAAUCUCUACCUCUGCAUCCUUCAAAUCCUUGAUAAUGGCACAAAUCUCUACAAUAUUUCUUCCAGGAAACAAAUGCUUCCGGCAGGUGUGGGUGUCGCCAGACAAAAUUGAACU